CACGUGAGCAAUCUGCCCCCUUCACUUUGGGAUAACCCCUCGGAAACGAGAGCUAAUACCGAAUACGACCACUUCGGGGCAUCCGAUGGUGGUGGAAAGUUCCGGCGGUGAAGGAUGAGCUCGCGGCCUAUCAGCUUGUUGGUGGGGUAAUGGCCCACCAAGGCAUCGACGGGUAGCCGGCCUGAGAGGGUGACCGGCCACACUGGGACUGAGACACGGCCCAGACUCCUACGGGAGGCAGCAGUGGGGAAUAUUGGACAAUGGGCGAAAGCCUGAUCCAGCAACGCCGCGUGAGGGAUGACGGCCUUCGGGUUGUAAACCUCUUUCAGCUCCGACGAAGCGAAAGUGACGGUAGGAGCAGAAGAAGCACCGGCCAACUACGUGC
rnacentral:rRNA from 1 species